AUGCUGGUGAUCUGCUCUACAAUGCCCAUGCUUCGGAUGAGAUUCUCCCGUUGCAGCAGGGCCUUCAACCGCUCCAGCUCCUCCUCUUCCACGAUUUCCUGAGGCUGCAUGGUGUCCGGGUAUCCUGGUGGCAGCUACAAGAAAGUCAAGAGCCACAAAGCCCCGGACACCUCUUUCUUCCGGUUCCGGCUCCGGUAGGCCAGGUGGGUGGGGAAGCCCCGGAGCCGGGUCCUGCAGCAGCUCCUCUCCCCUGCCGACUCCCCCUGGCUCUGCUCCUUGUUUUCCCUCCGCCGCUUCGUGUCUAAGACGUCGCGCUGCUCCUGCUUGAGGCGGAUCUCUUCCAGCUGCUGCCUGAUGAGAUACAGCAGAUUCAGAUACCGGAGAACUUGUGCGGAGAAGGGUGGGGGGGCAGUGAGGGAGAACAGGGAUCGGGAAAGAGCAGGGAAUGAUGGUCCGUUUGGGGGACUGGUGGGCGAGGGCUGCGGGGGAAGAUGGGACACCUCCUAAACUGAGCCACGAAGACCAAUAAACUGCGUAAGUCCAUCCCUCUUUCCUCCAGCGCCUGGCAUCCUCUCCACCCUGCUGGGGAGCAGGUCAGCUUCCAGAUCCGUCCCCACCCAGGUGGGGAGAGGAGCAGGCAGGGCGAAGUACCUGGCGCACUCCUCUCUGGCCUUGGAGGCCGCCGUCUCCUGGAAGAGGGAGCCGCUGUGCUUGAAGAAGGGCGUGUACUUCUCUGUGUCGGGCCCGGGGUAGAUCCUCCGGUAGCCCCCAAGGUGGGAAUCCUCGUAGCAUUCCUGGUCCAGAAGCGCCGCCUGGGACAAUUCGGUCUGUUCGCGCCUGCAGAAACCGAGCUCUGGGUGAGGCAGCGGGACAGGCGGGCUGGCCGAAGCUCUGAGGCCCUGCCCCGAGCUCCCGGCCUCUCGGGCCCCUGCCCAUGUGGCGCGAGCUGGGAAGCCCAUCUGUGGCCGUCCCGCCCGUGUACGGUAAUGAAAACAGGCUCGACUUCCGGAAAUCUGGUUUUCGUCUUCAGUGCAGUGGGGUCCGCUCAUAGGCUAACGCCAAGUUCUCACAGUCUCACAGGCCCCUGAUUAUAGAAAUUGGGUUUCUAAUUUCAGAAAAUCUAGAGAAGCAGAAAAGAUGAUGAUAAAAAACUGCCCACAGUCUUACAAUGCAGCUCGUAUGUUGGUUCUGAGCACAGAGGCCGAGGCAGGACCUCCUGCGUCUGAACCCUGGCUUUGCCCUGCACCGCCCUGGCCGCCGGCCUUCCCUCCCUCCUGCCCUCUUUCCUUCCUUCCAUCCUUCCUUCCGCCCUUUCUCCUCUUUGAAUGAAAGCAGGAUCACACAGCAUUUCUAAACAGCUGCCUAGCACUCUAGUGUAUGAGUGUGUUCAUGACGUUCAGUAGUUUUCAACCGCUUAUCCCCACUGAAAGAUGGGGUUCAGCAAGUCACGUGCAUAGUGUGGUCUCACGAACACCCAGGGCGUGUACAGUUACCCUUCGCCCCUGCUCACGCAGAUGUCCGUGGGCCUUCCGUGCAUGAGGCCCUCAAGACGGCCUCCGCAAACCUAGUACACGCUGGCCUCGCAUCUUGCUGUGUGGGUGUGGUGGUGGGGGGGGAAGAACAGCAUUAUUAUGCUAAUGCUGAAUCUACUCAGAUUCAUUUUUAUGCCUCGUUAACUGUAAUUCCGUAUCAGCAAUAAAUCCCCACGUGGUAAUAACCCAUCUUACAAGGAAAACAGCAGUGGGUGGACAAUACUGAUGUAACCCAUCCCCUAAAAACAAAGGCAAAAAAUAAAAAACUGUCCCUUAAUGUUGAACAACUAAA